GAUGAACGCUGGCGGCGUGCCUAAUACAUGCAAGUCGAGCGAACAGACGGGGAGCUUGCUCCUCUGACGUUAGCGGCGGACGGGUGAGUAACACGUGGAUAACCUACCUAUAAGACUGGGAUAACUUCGGGAAACCGGAGCUAAUACCGGAUAAUAUAUUGAACCGCAUGGUUCAAUAGUGAAAGACGGUUUUGCUGUCACUUAUAGAUGUAUCCGCGCCGCAUUAGCUAGUUGGUAAGGUAACGGCUUACCAAGGCAACGAUGCGUAGCCGACCUGAGUGGGUGAUCGGACACACGGGAACUGAGACACGGUCCAGACUCCUACGGGAGGCAGCAGUAGGGAAUCUACCGAAAUGGGAGAAAGCCUGACGGAGCAACGCCGCGUGAGUGAUGAAGGUCUUCGGAUCGUAAAACUCUGUUAUUAGGGAAGAACAAAUGUGUAAGUAACUAUGCACGUCUUGACGGUACCUAAUCAGAAAGCCACGGCUAACUACGUG
rnacentral:rRNA from 1 species